rnacentral:rRNA from 1 species
AACGAACGCUGGCGGCGUGGCUAAGACAUGCAAGUCGAACGGUAGGUUAUAGCAAUAUGGCCUAUAGUGGCGGACGGGUGAGUAAUAAAUAGGUAACGUACCCUGGGCACGGGGAUAGCGUCGUCCCGAGCAAUCGGGGCUUUGCGAAAGUGACGGUAAUACCCGGUAAUGUCUUCGAGUGGCAUCACUCGAAGACCAGAGGUGGGGACCUUCGGGCCUAUCGGCCUGGGAGCGGCCUAUUUCCAUCAGCUAGUUGGUGAGGUAACGGCUCACCAAGGCUUCGACGGGUAACCGGGACUGAGAGGUCGGCCGGUCACAUCGGGACUGAGACACUGCCCGGACAUCUACGGAUGGCUGCAGUAACGAAUAUUCCGCAAUGGCGCAAGCCUGACGGAGCGACGCCGCGUGGAGGACGAA